rnacentral:lncRNA from 1 species
GCAAAUCGAACUGUAUCCUGCAGGACCACUAGGAAGUCUCUGUGCCAAACAGCUUUCUGAUUCACACUUUCAUUCCCUGAGGACACCCAAGUAGGGCUGGGCUGCUGGGCGACAGAAGCUUUCUCUUUACUAUUUUAUCCAUUAACUCAGAUACAGUUGAGAAGAAUGUAUGCUAUAUGGAAGAACACGCAGAAGUUGUGAGCAACCACACGGUCUGAAUGUUAAGGGUUCAUCCAUCUUCCUGCACAAGAAUGCCUUUAUCUGGAAAAGACAAACAUCCCAGGAGUCUGUAAGAAGUAAGAAGUAAGCUGUUGCAGCUUGAAUUUGUGAGAGGACUUCUGUGGAGCCUGAACCACCUCCCUCCAUCUCAAAGG